rnacentral:tRNA from 1 species
UGAAGGCUAGUUUAUUAAAACAUAGGAUUUCGGCUCCUAAAUACCCGGUACGGGGCCUUUUU